rnacentral:rRNA from 1 species
GACGAACGCUGGCGGCGUGCUUAACACAUGCAAGUCGAACGGAAAGGCCCUGCUUUUGUGGGGUGCUCGAGUGGCGAACGGGUGAGUAACACGUGAGUAACCUGCCCUUGACUUUGGGAUAACUUCAGGAAACUGGGGCUAAUACCGGAUAGGAGCUCCUGCUGCAUGGUGGGGGUUGGAAAGUGUCGGCGGUUGGGGAUGGACUCGCGGCUUAUCAGCUUGUUGGUGGGGUAGUGGCUUACCAAGGCUUUGACGGGUAGCCGGCCUGAGAGGGUGACCGGCCACAUUGGGACUGAGAUACGGCCCAGACUCCUACGGGAGGCAGCAGUGGGAAAUAUUGCACAAUGGGCGGACGCCUGAUGCAGCAACGCCGCGUGCGGGAUGACGGCCUUCGGGUUGUAAACCGCUUUCGCCUGUGACGAAGCGUGAGUGACGGUAAUGGGUAAAGAAGCACCGGCUAACUACGUG